rnacentral:lncRNA from 1 species
AUGAAAAUGCUAAAUGGAAAUUCAAAAGGGACUUUUAAAUGCCACACUGAAAAGAAGUCAGGAAGUAUAGAUCAGGGCCAGGAACAAGUAAGACCUUGGAAAAUUUCUGGAACCUUUACAAUUUCCUCAGGUUUACUUCUUCUAUUAUCUUUCUAUUAUCCUUCCAGUAGCGCAACUUUUAAAACCCUGACAGUGAAAAGCGUCUGUGUGUUUGCUUUGACAGCAACAGCUAAUACAGGGCGAGGCCGUCCGAGAGGAAGGAAACCCGAGGAACCGGAUGAGGACAUUGAAACUCAGAGACUAAGACGGGCUAAACUUCAGCUCCCAAUACAGAAGUAAAUUGUAAGUAAUCUCACUUGCAAAAUAUUAUAUAAUUUCAAAUAGUUAUACCAAAAAAAAAGAGAACAUGGUUAAUAUAUUAGUCAGGAUUUCCGAGAGACACAGAACCAAUAGGCUGUAUAUAUAGAAAGAGAGAUUUAUUUAAUUUUUUUCUUUUUUUUUUUUUGCUGAGUAAGAUUCACCCUGAGCUCAUAUCUUUUGCCAAUCUUCCUUUUUAUAUGUGAGCCACCACUACAGCAUGGCCACUGAUGAGCGGUGCAGGUCUGCACCUAGGAACUGAACCCAGGCUGCUGAAGCAGAGCGUGCUGAACUUAACCACUAGGCCACCAUGGCUGGCUCCUUUUUUUUUUUUUUUUUGAGGAAGAUUAGCCCUGAGCUAACAUCUGCUGCCAAUCCUCCUCUUUUUGCUGAGGAAGACUGGCUCUGAGCUAACAUCCAUGCCCAUUUUCCUCUAUUUUAUGUGGGACGCCUGCCACAGAAUGGCUUGACAAGCAGUGCAUAGGUCUGCACAUGGGAUCCAAACCAGUGAACCCCAGGCUGCCAAAGCAGCAUGUGUGCAUUUAACUGCUGUGCCAUCAGGCCAGCCCUCCCUUUUUUUUUAAAUUACCUUUUUUUUUGGCCAAAGAAGACUUGCCCUGAGCUAACAUCUGUUGCAAAUCUUCCUCUUUUUUUUUUUUUUUUUUUUGCUGGGGAAGAUUUGCCCUGAGCUACCAUCUGUUGCCAAUUUCCCUCUUUUUGUAUGUGAGCCACCUGUUGCAAAUCUUCCUCUUUUUUUUUUUUUUUUUUUUUUUUGCUGAGGAAGAUUUGCCCUGAGCUACCAUCUGUUGCCAAUUUCCCUCUUUUUGUAUGUGAGCCACUGCCACAGCAUGACCACUGCUGAGUGGUGUAGGUCUGCCCCCAGGAACCUAAGCCAGGCCACUGAAGCAGAGCGUGCCGACCUUAACCACCAGCCCACCAGGGUUGACCUGAGAGAGAUUUAUUUUAAGGAAUUGACUCACAU